GGAUGCGACCAUACCAGCACUAAAGCACCGGAUCCCAUUAGAACUCCUAAGUUAAGCGUGCUUGGGCGAGAGUAUUAGUAGGAUGGGUGACCUCCGAGGAAGUCCUCGUGUUGCAUUCC
rfam:Triticum aestivum genome assembly, contig: Triticum_aestivum_CS42_TGACv1_scaffold_082336_1DS